GACGUAGGGUGCGAGCGUUGUCCGGAAUUACUGGGCGUAAAGAGCUCGUAGGUGGUUUGUCGCGUUGUUCGUGAAAACCGGAGGCUUAACCUUCGGCAUGCGGGCGAUACGGGCAGACUGGAGUACUGCAGGGGAGACUGGAAGUCCUGGUGUAGCGGUGGAAUGCGCAGAUAUCAGGAGGAACACCGGUGGCGAAGGCGGGUCUUUGGGCAGUAACUGACGCGGAGGAGCGAAAGCGUGGGGAGCGAACAGG
rnacentral:rRNA from 1 species